GCAGUCAGGCCUACUUCGAGCGGAAGCAGGGGGAGAUUGACACCGCCCCCACACCCUCCCUUCCAGUCAGCAAUGCGGUGGCUACGUGACUCACAAAAGACUCGGCGCAGAAGGCUGAAGGCUGGAGGAUGCUACCAGACCUCUCAGGACCUGGAAGUGCCACUGGAGCGGGUCAGCCUAUCCUGCAGUGCCUGAGGCAUGUCCAGCCACAGCAGGGUUCUAGGCUCAGCCUGGGAGACCAGGGGACCAAGCGUCACUGCCGCUUCUGACAACUGCCCAGGUGCUCUGCUGCCCCUGGGAGCUACAGCUGUAACCAAGGCCAAGCCAAACUGGAACAGAAGUGCUUUCAACCAGUCACCACAUGGAAGAGACCCUGUAGAGCUCUGUCCCACCUUGCAGAAGACAUUGUAGUUGAGGACUUAAUGAUGUUGAACAGCUGGGAGUAACUGGAAACAUCACCACACUGGCCAGACCAACCGUAUCUUCUGCCUGGAGAACCUACAGACAGGAUCAACAGCAUCUAGUGAUGUAGCCAUCAACUGUGGCAUAAUCAGGCUCACCUGUAACAGCACAAAAAUAUUAGGUCUGCUUGUCAGUAGUGUUCAUUACGAGACUCUACACAGGACAGAAACACUGGCCACCUGUGUUAAAGGGAUGGAAGGCAAUGAUGGAUGAGGCUGAAAAAGAUGUCUUGAUUCUAUGAUUCUAUGAUUUGCUGAACAACCAAAGCAUUUUACAAAGUUCCAUCACUAAAGUGCACUGAGAAUUAUAUAACUCAUGGUGUUGAAUCAGGCAAAGGCCCAAACUGCAGAGACUGGUGGGAUCCCAACCUUGGACAUCAUUAAGCUCCAUAUAUGACUAUACUCAGGGCUUUGAUCAGAACUUCUCCUUAGUGAAACCUUGUCUCCAAAGUCAGACUCCAGCUUGCUAGGAUCUUUCAGGUGGCACCAGAUUUCACCUAAACCAUUCCCUUUAGGGAGCUAAAGCUCAUGAUCGAUGGGGAAGAGCAAAAGCAUAGUUUUUCUGUGGAGCCAGAAACAACAUAAAGCAAGGAAUUCUGGUGCACUGGUCAGGGUUGGUAGAGGUGCCCUCCUGCACAGUAGAAAAGGCAGAGCUGAGGACCUGCGUGGCUCUGGGACUCCCAAUGCCCUGGCUCUGUGCUCCACAAAUGCUCUGCCAGAGCUGGUGGGAAGGCAAGAGAUUAGGCCAGCCUGGACUUUAUGGAGACCAAAUACCCAGACAUGUCGUGGUGGGCUAAGGUAAAGCCAGAGGGCAUUGCAGAAAUAGUUGAUCCAUUCACACUCCUGGGUCUCAAAGAACUGAAAUGACACAGACAAAACAGCCCUAACAUCUGUGAGAAGAGAGCAAAUCUCCUCUAUUCUGAUCUCUUCUCAUCCCACUACAAAGAUCUCUGUCCACAGCAAGGAGCAGGUGAUGUUGGUCUUCUGCAGGAAACAUGGUAACUAACCAUGAGUCAUAGAAUCAUAGAAUCAACUAGGUUGCAAAACACCUCGUCCAGAGAAGAAGUCAUCCCUUUGCACACCCAUGUACUUCAAAGAUGAGCAUUAAGCUCUGGAAGGUCUGCAGGGCCAAUGUGGAAGGGGUCACUCAGUACACCAGUACCUCUGGGGAGAUGAAGCCAGCUUCCUAAGGGCACUGCAUGUUCCUUGGUACCCCACCCAUGGUCCUGCAGUCCCAGCUGACUUCUCUCCCUCAACUAUUGUGCAAUAAAAAAGCUUUGGGGAUCUAUGAAA